CCUCCCUCGCCCGCCCGCGCCUCGGCGGCACCGGCGACAGCCCAACCCUCGCUUCGCUCGCCCCGCGCCCGCCUCGCCGCCGCCACCGCUCCUCCUCGGCGGCCAUUGCCGCAUCCCCGGCCUGGGGCGUAGAUAUGAGGCCCGCCUGGGGCCUAGGGUCGGAAGCCAUGGCCGCCCACCUCCGCGGGCUGAGGGAACUCGGAUGGUGGCCCCGCUGCCGCCGCGGCGCCAGCAACCUACGGCCCUGCUCCCCAAGCCCCCGCUAAGUCCGCCUGCGCCAUCACUCACCGUGGCUGAAUGAACACGCACGAGACGUGACGCUCCGCACCAGGACACUGAAGCAACUGGCGCGCCGCCCCCUGCGCCGGCCUUAUAUAGAGGCGGGCCCGCCCAGCGCGCGGCGCUUCUUUCCAGAAGCCUCCGGAACCUUCCGGAAGAACCCUCCCCAACCGUCGCCUCGGCCGCGCGCCCGCGCCUGCGCAAUGGACGGGCCCCGCCCCUCCACCUGGAGCGCGCCGAACCCGCGCGGAGAACGAACGCAAGCCCCUCCUCCACAGCCAGGUGCUCUGCACAUGCGCAGUCCGGAACGCUCGGCGGGCCGGGCGCCUUCCCGGGCCGCACGCGCGCGCGCGGACGGGCCGGCCAGCGCAUGCGCCUGAAGCCUCCAUGUGAGCCCUGUGGUCUAAGGCUUCUUUUCCCCGGCGCUCUGUAAAAGGGACGUCCCCAUGGGAACGCGCGCGUGUUGUGUGAACCUCGCGGUCCUCUGCGGCGCUUUAGGUCCUUGCAGGCAAAAGGUCCCCCUUCGGGCUCCCUUUGGGAACGCGGACCCCGCAGGAGGCGAGUCCCGCCCCCCCCCUGGCUUCCACCUUGAUGGGUGGGGCGCCUCCCGGACUGGGGUUCUGGUUGCGUAGUCUGAAUUUCAGGGCUGACCCCGCUGGAGUGUGUUCUGAAGCCUUACAGUGGGCUUACUGAGAGACCUUACACGGUGGGUCUUACAAAUCCGUCCAGAGUGCUUGGGGAUUUCUCUUUGACCAAAAGCUAUGACCCUCAAAUUGGGCGUUGUGAGGGAUUUUGUAUCAAAUUUGUGCUACCUUAAUUUACUGUAAUUUUGGGGCUGGAAAGAUGGCUCUUCCAGUAAAGGUGCUUGGGUUUG
rnacentral:lncRNA from 1 species